GGGGUGGUAGCUCAGUGGUAGAGCACCCACCCAGCGUGUGUGAGGCCCUGGGUUCGGUCCUCAGCACCCCA
rnacentral:tRNA from 1 species